UUGUACGCCGGCCAACUCGUCGUGGUUUGGCCGGAAAUGGCCUCGAAAGGGGCGGUGCUCGCCGGAGCUUACUCCGUGUCGUCGAACUCGCAGGGCAGGGUCCAGGGUUCGUUGCGAGCCUCUCUUCGAUGGUGACUCGGUCCUAGUGAGUCCAGGGGAAGAGAGAGAGCCGAGAGACAGACAGAAGAAGGAAGAAAAGAAAACAGAAAAGAAGAAGAAGAAAGAAGGGAGUUCACGGGGGAGGGACAGAGAGA
rnacentral:lncRNA from 1 species